UAAUAUAUGGUGUAAAUACGUAUACGUAUAUAUUUUUUCUCGUGCUGAAUUUUUUUACGCGCCGUACGCGAAAGCGUACACGAGCUCACGGAGAAGGGAUAACUAUACGAUUUACUACGGAAUAUGUAUCGCAUGUAUAUUAAAUACCUGUGCGUAUGCAAUUGAUUAAUUUACAUAAGGAUAUAUAUAUAUAUAUAUAUACGUGUGCGGUCUGUAACGCGUGUACGAGGAUGCGGGUGAUUCGGACGGAUUUUCCAUACUAAUCGCAAGAUUCGUUGGAUGGAAGAGGAAUGGGGAUAAUUUCGCAUAUAUACAUAACGAUAAUGAUGAAUAAUCAAAAAAUAUUGUAUACUCGAAGUUUAUUUUUUUCACACGAGGUACGUAGACGCGGUACGCGUAAUACUAUAUUACAUACAUGAUACAUCAACUACACAGUCAUUGAAACCUUUGCAGCGCUAUAGAAAAAAUAAAAAAGUUAAAAAUACGUAGUGAAAAAAGAGAGGAAAGUUGUUGGGCUACGUAUAGCUUUGAGUAAAUGAAAUUUCAUAUGAAUUAAAUACAGAGGUGUAUAUAUAACAUAAUAAGGUACAACGUAACUUGACGAUUUUCGAGUUAACGUGAUUCGCGCCAUCGAAGAUUCGACAGAGUUGUUAUCAUUAUUGCGACGAGUGAUUCGUGCCAAUUUCGUAUAACUAAAGAAGAAAGAAUGAGACGAAUAGUGUGCUUGCCGGCGUUGUCGUGAUUUAUCUAAAUUAUAAUCGCCAUGGCGUGAAAAAAAAAAAACCGUAUGAGCGUAAGUGUAUGAAUAAUUGGACGAAAAAAAAAAAUAUAUAUAUUCUCAACGAGCUUCAACCAACGCCGCGUCGUUUUUGCAUCGUUAAUUCCUUCACGUAUGAAGCAUGUCGUUUUCAUCUCUCUUGUAUGUAUAUUAUCUUCGUUAUCGAAAAAAAAA